CCUACGGGUGACAGCAGUGGGGGAUAUUGCACAAUGGGGGAAACCCUGAUGCAGCGACGCCGCGUGAGUGAAGAAGGAUUUCGGUAUGUAAAGCUCUAUCAGCAGGGGAGAAAAUGACAGUACCUGACCAAGAAUCCCCGGCUAACUACGUGCCAGCAGCCGCGGUAAUACGUAGGGGGCAAGCGUUAUCCGGAUUUACUGGGUGUAAAGGGAGCGUAGACGGCAGUGCAAGUCUGUAGUGAAAGGCGGGGGCUCAACCAUCGGACUGCUUUGGAAACUGUACGGCUGGAGUGCAGGAGAGGUAAGUGGAAUGCCUAGUGUAGCGGUGAAAUGCGUAGAUAUUAGGAGGAACACCAGUUGCGAAGGCGGCUUACUGAGCUGUAACUGACGCUGAGGCUCGAAAGCGUGGGGAGCAAACAGGAUUAGAUACCCGAGUAGUC
rnacentral:rRNA from 1 species